AUGAACGCUGGCGGCGUGCCUAAUACAUGCAAGUCGAGCGAACGGACGAGAAGCUUGCUUUUCUGAUGUUAGCGGCGGACGGGUGAGUAACACGUGGAUAACCUACCUAUAAGACUGGGAUAACUUCGGGAAACCGGAGCUAAUAUCGGAUAAUAUUUUGAACCGCAUGGUUCAAAAGUGAAAGACGGUCUUGCUGUCACUUAUAGAUGGAUCCGCGCUGCAUUAGCUAGUUGGUAAGGUAACGGCUUACCAAGGCAACGAUGCAUAGCCGACCUGAGAGGGUGAUCGGCCACACUGGAACUGAGACACGGUCCAGACUCCUACGGGAGGCAGCAGUAGGGAAUCUUCCGCAAUGGGCGAAAGCCUGACGGAGCAACGCCGCGUGAGUGAUGAAGGUCUUCGGAUCGUAAAACUCUGUUAUUAGGGAAGAACAUAUGUGUAAGUAACUGUGCACAUCUUGACGGUACCUAAGCAGAAAGCCACGGCUAACUACGU
rnacentral:rRNA from 1 species